GUGAUAUAAACUUAAACGCUACGUCAUGGGUGUGACGUAAUAAUGUCCAGUAGGCUCUUCAUGACAGCUCGCGAAAAUACAUGUACACUAACGAAAUAUCAUUCGCACUAGUUUAUUAAUUAAUAGUCCAGGAACCAGCAAAUUUUAAAUAGAGGUGGUUGCUGAAGACCUCAAACCAGGCCACGUCACAUAGCAGUUUUAAGGUAAAUAUUUACAUCCAUAAAAUAUAUUUAGAAAAAAUCUAGAUCUAUAUUAAAUGAGCGUCGUAAAGGCUUAGAUCUAGAUCUAGUAUAUUUUUAAAUUAGGACUUCUAUAACUAGGCCUACUCAUUAAUAUUUAGAAACUCCUAAUUAGGAUUCUAGUAUUUUCUAGUCAGAAGUUACUAGAUCUACCGCCUAAUUCAGCCCUAAUUAGGAUUACGUUUCUUCUAGUUAGGACUUAGACUAGUCAGUCCUUAGCAGAUAGUUACUCCUAGUCAUGACGUAGUCACUUCUUAUUUAGACAUGUGUGACGGAGGUAAGAGAACUGACGCGGACAUUGGAGAGCGGAGUAUAUUUUGGGUUUGUUUUUCUUAAAAACAUCAUACAUGUCUAAAAAUGAAUUCUUUUUUAAAAUGAAUAUCAUCUGCAUAUCAAUACAAUACUACUCCAAUCUGCGUUGCCUUUUAAUUCGAAUGGAAAUUGCAUUGGUUAACGUCCCCGACUUUCUAAAGAUUCAUUUGCCAUUUACCACCGUGGGUUCGAAAGUCGCUUUGAAAGUAUAAGUCAUUGAAGUGAGGCAGCCUUCUAGCUGCCUUACGGAAGAUCGGACGUUCUACCAAAAAGCCCAUUUUUUAACAAGUAAGUUGUUCUACGUAAAACCCAACAAUUAUUAUAAGACUGGUCAAGUAAGGAUAUGUAAACAAAACAUCAAUUUAGAUAUAAAUUAGAUAAACCAUGUAAUAUUGGCUUGAUCCGUGUUACUAUUUCUAAUCAUGAGAGUUGCAGACAAGCAAGUACGAGUAACAUACUAUUUCUUACACAUUUUGUCUUUCUGUUUUCUAUAUCAAAGUCUUGUCUUUGUCAGCAGCUGACAAUAAAUACUUUUAUGCAAUUUUCGAACUAAAUGCAGGUAUGACGUCAAUAAAAGUCAAAUAGUUUGAUCAUAUCACAUCUGUCUCGAUGGCAAUAAACUGUUCGACUCGAAUGAGAUUCUGGCCGUCGCGAUCAGCAGAAAUCACAAAUAUGUGAUUUCAUUUAGACACCGAAACCACCUACUUUUUUCAGUAUUUUAGAUUAUUAGCCUCUACACAUCUUAAACAGCUCUAAAUAUUUUAUAUUCAGACAUAAAAGCAUACCCUCCAUUUUAUUAAUCAGAACAAUCGGUAAUGCAUUUUACAUGUCUGGCUUGAACAUGGCCUCUCAAAAACGAAAUGUGGAAAUUCGUAACACAGCUCUUCUUAAACGUUCUAUAAGUACGUUCCAUGAGCAGGCUAAAUCAAAGCAAGCCUGCAACGUUUUCGUUUUUGUCGUGUUGAGCGAGCUGUGGAGUUUCCAUUUUUUUCUAUAAAAUUAGUAGGCUACAUGCAUUUAAUUAAUAUCAAAUAACUUUUCUCAUCUGUGCAUAUCGGCGUCAGAUAUUUCUCUAUCGUUGUGUCAUAAUGAAAAUCAAUGAAUCACUUUUUAAGCAACAAGAAAUAAAAACUAACUGCCGUCGAGUUUUGAACCUACACGGCAAAAGAUCUGAAGAUCAUAAUCAGAAAGCUUUACGGCUAAGCUAAUUUUAUAUUUGUAAGUGGUAUGAAAGCAAGAAUUUUUUUAACUAUUCAUAUAUGCGUUCAUAUUAUUGUUUAAAUGUCUUGAUAACAAAUAUAAUAAAAUACUAUCAACUAAAAGAAAUAUUCACAUUUUUGACCAGUUACAAGAAUUUAAAAAAUGUUGAAUUAUCUAUGCUUCAUUUCAAUCUAUUUAUAAUUAUGUUUGUAAACACCACGUUAUCGUUGGGGCAUAGUACUUUAAUUUGUGUUGUGUUGACGUGAAUGCGCACUUUAUUACGACCUUGAUUGCAAAAUAAAGAAAAGCCCAGAGGCUUAAAUAAAUCCAUUGAAUUGUCCCACUACAACCUUUGUGCAUAAACCACUCAGAGCCGCACGAGCUAUAUGUGAGAUCUGGUGAAUAAGUCAAAAGGUCGGACAUUAGUUUGACGGGUGGAACUGAAAACAAUCGUAAAGAAUAGAAAAUGAUGCAGAAGAAAAGCCGACGACGGCCUGAUAGUAGCAUGUUUCACGGAAGCAGGUGGCGUCACCGGUUAUAACCAGUAUGGAGUAAACGACAGAUCGAGUUAGGAAAGGACUAGCAACGCGUACCAAUUCCGACUGAAUGGUGCAAAUACAACAUGUAUUUAGAACGGCGGAGCCUGAUCAAGUUGCAGACAGUACUGAUCUAUGCCUUCAAACCUGGAUUGACAGAUGAAAGGUCUGGUGACGAUAAAAUACUCGCACGUGCCGAGGAGAGCAUGCCUGGCAACCUCUUACAAGUUCAGAUGAUGAUUUGAUCCAAUGUGAGAAAGAUCUAUACAAAGAUGCUAAUGACCAACCAACUUUGGUGAAGAUUCAGAAGUUGUUAUUAAGAAGCAUUUGUUUAAAGGCAUUUUUCUACUUUUC
rnacentral:lncRNA from 1 species